CCAUACCUCUAGGGUACCAAUACAGCAGUUUGGGAAGCACCAGUGGAAGAAGCAGAAGAGAUGGAGGAGACCAGAUCCAUCUGAAGACUUCCAGAGGAGGGAAGGAGAACUUACUGUUUCCCCAACACUGGCUUGGGUAGCAGACAUGUGCGUAGUUCUAUAUUAUCAGGCAGAAUAAAGUAACUCAGGAGAAGAGACUCAGGGCACUAGCAGCAAUGGAGGAACGGGAAAGUAAAAGCUGUAGACUGGACUUUUCGAAGGCAUGUGGACCUGGGGGGAGGGGCUGAGACUCCGUAAAGGCCAGCAGGAAGUGGGGCAAAGUGCCGCAUGGUCAUUUCCUCCCCUCUUCUCUCCUCACUGUUCUGGUGGUGUGCAUAGAGACUGAGGAAGUGGCUAUAAUGUUGCCUGUGGUUGUAGGCCUAAGAGGCCUAAGAUCUGUGAGUCCACACUGAAGAGGUGAAGCGGAUCGGAUCCACACUUGACACAAAACAAGAGAGCACAGCAGGUUGCUCCCUAGCCCGCAGAUGCCCUGUCCCUCCCAGGCUGUCUGCGCCAGCCCUCCCUCCAGUCUGUCUGUGCUCUCUGCUUCUGGGGAAGAGCUUUUCCCAGAGCAGGGGGAGAUACUGGGCCGCAUGGUACACACUACUUCCGGAAGUCAGGUGAGUUCCGUCCUCACAGCUCUUCCACCAGAGCCCGGGAAUCAAGUCUGCCAAGUGCA